GCGGCGCCCGGCCCGGCCCGGGGCCCCCGCGGCGGAGGGGGAGCAGCUCUCCCGGGCCUGACAGCCCCGGCCGUGCGGACGGCCGGCCCAGGGAGGGAGUGCAGAGAAGGGCGCGAGAGGAGAAGGUCGAAACGAAGCCCAGACCCCAGGAAGUGACUGCGUCGGGGGAAGGGAGGGCUUCCUUCCCAGGGAAAAGGGGACAGAGGAGGAAUGCACUUGGCGUCCGCGCCGCCCCGGCCGAGGAGCCGCCCCCGCUCCGGACACUGCGCUCCAACCAGGAGGAGCAGGAGGAGGAGGAGGAUGAACAAAAUGGCCACCGCCACCAGCCAGGCAGGAAACGGGGCAGAGCGCAGGCGCGGCCCGCCAGGUCACCGCUCAGGCCAGCCGCGACGGCCUGUAAAGGGAAUCACCGAGUGGGGAGCAAAACAGGCCGCUAAGGAAACCCUGCGCCCAGUCCCGACGAAUCACGACGUCCGCUCCGUGCCUGCCGGCCGGCUGAACCCCACCAGCCCGAGGAGAGAUCGAGUAAAAAAGGGAACCGCCGGGAAGCUGAAGGUUCUGGGAAUUGUGGUCCUGGAAAGGAGAGAGGGAAGCGCUUCUCCAGGGGACUUCUGGGAACUGUAGUCCGCGGGAGACUGCCGGCGCCCCCGGCGCGCUGGGUCGCGAAGAAGAGACUUCUGGGUAGUGUAGUCGUACGUGAGGGCGUGCGGCGACCAGGAAGUUGGCGUGCUGGAAGGAGAGGGAGAGCAUAGAAGCGACGUUGAAAGGCAGCGGGGGACGGGAUGGGAAUUAAAAGCGCUGACCGGGAAGUAAACUACGAGUCCCAGAGUGCCUCGCUCUGGGGGGCUGUCUUGGACCGCUCGCCGCAUUGUAGGGCUCUCCAGUUGGCUCAGCCUGUGCUACCGCUCCGCCCUCGUCCAGCCUGAGAGCGGGUUCUUCAAGUGCGGCUGAAGCUGCGCUGUGGCUCCGCGUGGUGUCGGAGUCCGCCGGCCUUGGCGAGCUGUUCUCUGUGCAUCCAAACAGCCGACGGGGGGUCGUCAGUCGCCCCCCCCCCCCCGUCCCCGCGCGGCGGGCUGGAGGGGCUGUGGCCGACGUCGGGUCCAGGCUGAGCCGGGAGCUGCGCUCGCUGGGUCCCCACGGGCUUCCUAAGGUCUGGCCUUGUCUUUGGGGCGUGUUUUCCCGCGGAUAGGUAUUCCUGGUCUAGGUAGGCUGCGGAGAUUGCUUUAGAAGUUUCAAAGGUUUCCCCAUCCGUUAUCGCGGCGGGUAAUGUGGUGAGCGGAGCAGCCCUCCACUAAAGUGACUCAUCGGGUCAGUGUAAGGCGCAGUGCUGAUGCCCCCGAAUAUCCCUUGUUGACUUCUUGGAGUGGGGAAAAGGAAAAAAAAAAAAAAAAAAAAGAACGUUCGGGCAGAGACGUGCACAGACUUAAGGUCGUGUUGGCAGACAUCCAUCAUGCAGACGGGAAACGAAGCCUUGCUUGAGAAAGGAGGCAGCUAUUUUCCAAAGUGCUCCCCUAGCCCCGUAGGAUUUUUUUUUUCUUUCUUUCUUUUUUUUUUUUGCAACAGGUCACGGUGCGCUUCCAUCCCCUCCCCACCCCCACCUCCACCCCCCCAGCAUCUUCGGGAGAAUGUUACUGAGUGUGAAUCACAAUGUUACUGUGAAGGGCGGUGAUCAAGAUUUUUCCAGCCUGUUGCCCGAGCUCAGGGGUCCCAGCUGUAAAGAGUGGGCUCUGCGGGCCUGUGCGGAGGGGGAGGGGGAUUUGAACCUGGAAAGCUUCAGAUUCCCCCUAGCGGGGGCGGUGAACCCCUUAACAGCCAGUGGGAAUUGCAAAAGGGUGCAGAGACCAGGAUCUAAGGUUUAUAUAUAUACAUAUAUAUAUAUACAUAUAUAUAUAUGUAUAUAUAUAUAUUGUUACUUGGGGAGGGAGAAGAAAGGAAGGUGUGGGUGGAGUGGGGGGUCUUGAGAGCUCGGAGAGGUGGGCUCUAUGGAAUUGUGUUGUGGAGGAUUUGUACCAGGCCGAGGAUUUGAGCUUUGUCUUUGAAACAGUGAGGAGUUAUUCAAGGGUGUUUGUUGGCCUGCUUUAUUUUUUUUGUUUUUUAAGGUUUUAUUUAUUUAUUUAUUCAUGAGAGACACAGAGAGAGAGGGAGGCAGAGACACAGGCAGAGGGAGAAGCAGGCUCCAUGCAGGGAGCCCGACGUGGGACUCCAGGAUCAAGCCCUGGGCGGCAGGCAGGCCCUAAACCGCCAAGCCCCCCGGGCUGCCCUGUUGGCCUGCUUUUAUUGGACCUAGUAUUGGGCCAGUUUUAUCAUAAUGCAAUUAGUCAUUUUUUAAAUUUUUUUUAUUUAUUUAUGAUAGUCACAUUAUGAUAGAGAGAGAGAGAGAGAGGCAGAGACAUAGGCAGAGGGAGAGGGAGAAGCAGGCUCCAUGCACCGGGAGCCGGUCGUGGGAUUCCAUCCCGGGUCUCCAGGAUCAUGCCCUGGGCCAAAGGGAGGCGGUAAACCGCUCCGCCACCCAGGGAUCCCUGCAAUUAGUCAUUGAUCCAUGCCUGGCCCACUGUAUUAAUUCCCUGUUACUGCUGUAAUAAACUUAAUGCCUUAAAAUAA